AGGGGUGUAGCACAACUGGUGGUGCAGCGGUCUCCAAAACCGAAGGUUAGAAGUUCGAGUCUUCUCAUCCCUG
rnacentral:tRNA from 2 species